GUGGUAAGAAUCUGAGCAGCCAUAAUCAAUGAGUUUGGUGUUUGAUGAUUUUAUCUGACAGCUUUGGUCAAGUCCAGAAAGCAGUACACCAAAGCCUAUACGUCGGUCACCUUCAAUAUCCCAAACAUCUGAUGUGCAAGUUCAGUGUGGUACAGAAUCUCAAAUGGCAUCCACAUCAGGAGAACAUACUACAAGUUACAA